AGCUUGACUGCGAGCCAAACACGGCGAGCAGGUACGAAAGUAGGGCUUAGUGAUCCGGUGGCAUCCAAGUGGAAGGGCCAUCGCUCAACGGAUAAAAGCUACCCUGGGGAUAACAGGCUAAUCUCUCCCAAGAGUUCAUAUCGACGGGGAGGUUUGGCACCUCGAUGUCGGCUCAUCACAUCCUGGAGCUGGAGUAGGUUCCAAGGGUUGGGCUGUUCGCCCAUUAAAGUGGUACGCGAGCUGGGUUCAAAACGUCGUGAGACAGUUUGGUUCAUAUCCAUCGCGGGCGCAAGAAGUUUGAGGGAGGCUGCUCCUAGUACGAGAGGACCGGAGUGGACGGAUCAACGGUGUACCAGUUGUCACGCCAGUGGCACGGCUGGAAAGCCGCAUCCGGAAAGGAUAAACGCUGAAAGCAUCUAAGCGUGAAGCCCGUCCCAAGAUGAGACUUCUCAUCAGCAAUGAGUAAGACCCCUUAAAGACGAUGAGGUUGAUAGGCUGUGAGUGGAAGAGCCGCGAGGCUUGGAGCGACGCAGUACUAAUAGGUCGAGGUCUUAACUUA
rnacentral:rRNA from 1 species